rnacentral:rRNA from 1 species
UACAGAGGGUGCGAGCGUUAAUCGGAAUUACUGGGCGUAAAGCGUGCGUAGACGGCUAUCUAAGUCGGGUGUGAAAGCCCCGGGCUCAACCUGGGAAUGCCAUUCGAGACUGCAUAGCUAGGGUGCGGAAGAGGGAAGCGGAAUUUCCGGUGUAGCGGUGAAAUGCGUAGAUAUCGGAAGGAACACCAGUGGCGAAAGCGGCUUCCUGGUCCAGCACCGACGUUCAGGCACGAAAGCGUGGGGAGCAAACAGG